CAUGCAGUCGAGCGGAUGACGGGAGCUUGCUCCUUGAUUCAGCGGCGGAAGGGUGAGUAAUGCCUAGGAAUCUGCCUGGUAGUGGGGGACAACGUUUCGAAAGGAACGCUAAUACCGCAUACGUCCUACGGGAGAAAGCAGGGGACCUUCGGGCCUUGCGCUAUCAGAUGAGCCUAGGUCGGAUUAGCUAGUUGGUGGGGUAAUGGCUCACCAAGGCGACGAUCCGUAACUGGUCUGAGAGGAUGAUCAGUCACACUGGAACUGAGACACGGUCCAGACUCCUACGGGAGGCAGCAGUGGGGAAUAUUGGACAAUGGGCGAAAGCCUGAUCCAGCCAUGCCGCGUGUGUGAAGAAGGUCUUCGGAUUGUAAAGCACUUUAAGUUGGGAGGAAGGGCAGUAAGUUAAUACCUUGCUGUUUUGACGUUACCGACAGAAUAAGCACCGGCUAACUCUGUGCCAGCAGCCGCGGUAAUACAGAGGGUGCAAGCGUUAAUCGGAAUUACUGGGCGUAAAGCGCGCGUAGGUGGUUUGUUAAGUUGGAUGUGAAAGCCCCGGGCUCAACCUGGGAACUGCAUCCAAAACUGGCAAGCUAGAGUACGGUAGAGGGUGGUGGAAUUUCCUGUGUAGCGGUGAAAUGCGUAGAUAUAGG
rnacentral:rRNA from 1 species